ACGACCUUAAGCAAGAUAUGUUUUAUAGGCUCGUACAAUUGUAUUCUUGAGUGUUAAGGAGACAUGCAACACAAUCUGAUUGGUGACAUAAGAUCUCAAGAUUAGAGAAUGAUUAAUGGCUUAGGUCCUUUAGGGCUGGUGGCUGUAGCGGAUUAUUCUUGUUAGAUCCUGUAUCUGCUAGAGUACUCUUAAGAUUGUGUGAUGAACA